ensembl:snoRNA
ACCCUUCAGUUUCCUUUCCCAUUGGAUCUCAACACUGGUCUUGGUGGUCAUAAAAGAGGGAGAGUGCUGAAGCUGCCCUCAUAGCCUUGUAGUCGUGUAUAAGCAUAUGGGCUGGAUUCAAACAGGG